CCCAGGCUCCAAAUCUGCUUUCUGAACCAACCCUGGGCCUGAGGGGUCCUGUAGCUCUUCUCUGACCUCACUGUGAUUUGUCAGUGUCUUUCCAGUGUACACACAAAGAUAUUUCCUUUGCAGGAGUCACCUAAGGGAAUGUCACCAGCUACCUUAGGCAGCAAAAAUGCGAGACAGAGCCAAACCAAAAUACUGGAUCCAAAGCGACUUACAUUUGAGGAAAGUUGGGAUCAGGAUUCAAACUUCAGAGUGAAGGCUGAUCUCUAGCAAGACAACAUCACACUGUUAUGCCAGUGUUUCAGCUCUGCCAGAAAAAGGACUAUCUCUGGGUAAAGGCCCAAUCCAACUCUCGGUGAAGUCUCUGGGGGUCUAUCAACUGACUUUAAUGGAGGUUCGGCAAGGUUC